GAUGAGCGCUGGCGGCGUGCCUAAUACAUGCAAGUCGAGCGAACAGACGAGGAGCUUGCUCCUCUGACGUUAGCGGCGGACGGGUGAGUAACACGUGGAUAACCUACCUAUAAGACUGGGAUAACUUCGGGAAACCGGAGCUAAUACCGGAUAAUAUAUUGAACCGCAUGGUUCAAUAGUGAAAGACGGUUUUGCUGUCACUUAUAGAUGGAUCCGCGCCGCAUUAGCUAGUUGGUAAGGUAACGGCUUACCAAGGCAACGAUGCGUAGCCGACCUGAGAGGGUGAUCGGCCACACUGGAACUGAGACACGGUCCAGACUCCUACGGGAGGCAGCAGUAGGGAAUCUGCCGCAAUGGGCGAAAGCCUGACGGAGCAACGCCGCGUGAGUGAUGAAGGUCUUCGGAUCGUAAAACUCUGUUAUUAGGGAAGAACAAAUGUGUAAGUAACUAUGCACGUCUUGACGGUACCUAAUCAGAAAGCCACGGCUAACUACGUG
rnacentral:rRNA from 1 species